rnacentral:rRNA from 1 species
UACGUAGGGGGCAAGCGUUGUCCGGAUUUAUUGGGCGUAAAGAGCGUGUAGGCGGCUAGGUAGGUCCGUUGUGAAAACUCGAGGCUCAACCUCGAGACGCCGAUGGAAACCAUCUGGCUAGAGUCCGGAAGAGGCGAGUGGAAUUCCUGGUGUAGCGGUGAAAUGCGCAGAUAUCAGGAGGAACACCAAUUGCGAAGGCAGCUCGCUGGGACGUAACUGACGCUGAGACGCGAAAGCGUGGGGAGCAAACAGG